rnacentral:pre_miRNA from 1 species
AUUUAAGACAUCUUUACCUGACAGUAUUAGAUUAUUUCAAAUAACCAUUCCAACGCUGUCUGGUAAGAUGUCUCUAUG